rnacentral:tRNA from 2 species
GGGGCUGUGGGCUAGUCUGGUAUGCUCCGGGGUUCGGGACUCCGUGACCUGAGUUCAAAUCUCAGCAGCCCCA